CCUACGGGGGGCAGCAGUAGGGAAUAUUGCUCAAUGGGGGAAACCCUGAAGCAGCAACGCCGCGUGGAGGAUGAAGGUUUUCGGAUUGUAAACUCCUUUUGUUAGAGAAGAUAAUGACGGUAUCUAACGAAUAAGCACCGGCUAACUCCGUGCCAGCAGCCGCGGUAAUACGGAGGGUGCAAGCGUUACUCGGAAUCACUGGGCGUAAAGAGCGCGUAGGCGGGAUAGCAAGUCAGAUGUGAAAUCCUAGGGCUUAACCAUAGAACUGCAUUUGAAACUGUUAUUCUAGAGUAUGGGAGAGGGAGGUGGAAUUCUUGGUGUAGGGGUAAAAUCCGUAGAGAUCAAGAGGAAUACUCAUUGCGAAGGCGACCUGCUAGAACAUAACUGACGCUGAUGCGCGAAAGCGUGGGGAGCAAACAGGAUUAGAUACCCGGGUAGUC
rnacentral:rRNA from 1 species